GUCUUCGUGUGGGCUUUAUCAACGACCAUUGUAAAAUUGUCCACAGGUUUUCAUACUGUAUCUAGGUGUAUUGCGAUUUGAUUUACAAUUAACGUUAACACGUAUUCUGUUGGAAAUUUUCCUAUAGCUUUAAAUUUCAUUUAUAUACAACCCCGCCUUAAUGCUAAAAGAUAUGAUCGAAAUAUACGAAAAUCUUGUCCCAUGAAGACAAAAUUUCCUAAAUCAUGUGACGAUAAGAUACAUUACCGGUAACCGCUGUACACUACUUUAAAUACAAGUCUACACUACUUUAAAUACAGGUGUACAUAUGUUCACCCAAAAGAACAAUUGCAAAGCAUCAAAUUAUUUUCAAAACGCCUGAACGAUCCGUUUAAAGCUACAUAAGAUCCGAUUGUUUAAAUCUUCCGUUACAAGAUUUCACUAAAAGCCGAAAGACCCUUUAAACAGAACUGAACAAUAUUCAGUGUAGACCGUUUGGCUGACAUAUUUUGCCGUUAACAAGAUCAUCAGGUAGAGAAAUCAUCUGUUGAAUCACUUUUUCCGGUACGCCAUUUUUUCAGGUCACCUUCUUCCAGCAGGUGUCAACACCUGACGUCGUGCCGUGUAAGAACUGCUAUUCACCGAGACAUGGGGAAAAGCCGUGCGGAAAUACAAAAGGCGUACAGGGAGAGACAGAAGGCGAAAGACGGACAGUUCUUGGCGAGAGAAAGGCAGAGGCAUCAAACACUUUACGUACCUACCUGCUUUCUUUCAAAGAAAUAUCUGGAAAAGAAGAGGAAAGAGGUGAGGGAAAGAGUUGCCCAACACAGGCACAAGAAACGUCGAGAGAAUCGUCGAGAGAAACGCCCGUCAUUUGAUGCAAGUCCAGAGAACAGCACAAAUGUAGACGCAGCGAAUCCAAGCACUUGCCAAGAUCAAUGUCAAGAAAAACAGUCUCAAAGAUGGAUUUUGGAACAAAGAAGAAAAGGAUCAGAGAAAGGUUCAGAGAAGAACGCUGAACAAAUGAGCUGAGCUCUGUACAUAACAGUCUACAGGGGUGCAAGUUUUCAAAACCUCACAGGCCUCAUUGGACAUAUACAUGGACAAUAUACUGCCCUGAACCAACGUUUCCCUGGUCUGAAACUUAGAUGACAUAUUUCUAUACAUAUUUGCCUGCAUCAUGGAAAUCUUUUUUUUUUCUUAGUAGAAAAAUCCGGACUUAAAACAGAAACUGUUUACAGUAUAGGACCUAUACAGAAAUAUGCAGUGUUAUACAAUGUAAAAUUUCAACUUCCUUUACAAGUACAUUCUGCUGGAUAUGGAUAUGAAUAUACUAUUAUAUUUUUGUUCAAAGAUACUGAUUGUGAUUCACCUUUAUAAUGUGAUAUAAUAGUGAUGAGUAUGUACUGCUCACCUCAGUGUAAUAUGAUACGUUUAUUUCAAGAAUAUAGAAAUGACUUAAUAAACCAACAGAUAACA